UAAAUAAAAUAAUAGUAAUAGUUGCAUUCUGAUACGCCUUCAAAUAUUCUCGCUCAGUAAACAAGAAAAAUGUAUUUUUAUUUCUAUGUCAGAAUAAUGUACAUGGAGAGGCUAAACGUCACUACUAAAAACAGGAAGUUAAAUUAGAAACUAUUUUUGAAUUCACUGACUAAUAGCUAGUAAUGGCUUUUAGUAUUGUAGAAUGUGGGUCAAUAUUAACCUAUCAGGGAGCUGAGUUCCUGACAACACAUUUACUACCGUACUGCUAUUUCACUCAGUGAACUGAACAUUAAGCAGAAAUAUUUUAAAACUAGUAACUGUAUAAAAUAGUUUACCAGCUUUAUUUAAUUGAUAAAAUAUAGUAUUGGAAUAUCUAACUACAUUAACGUUACAAUAAUAAGACAAAUAAAGCUUUGUGGUAUCAACAUACCCGGUAUCUACUUUAAAUUAGGUAGUUCUGGUUACUCAAUGUACUUAUUACUUCAUAGACGAACUCAGGUGAUUCUCCUAGGCCUGUGUGUCUCUUCUAUUGGAUCUGGGGUGCAGGUGGCUGUAAAUCUUCCACAACAGGUUCAUCUUCUUCAUACUCUGGUUCUUGCAAGAAGUACAAAAGAAACCCCCACGUGUCACAGCACAGGAGUCAAGAGUACACGUCACACCCACACAAGCCGUAGUGGAACACUAAUAAGAUCUAUGUCCACAUUUCCUUUACUAUCAUGGUGUGUCAUCUAAAAAUAAUGAGACAGGAAGGUGAUGGUCAGAAGGGUAAAGCCGGCUUCCAGCAGCCUUAUAUUUUGUUGGUUGAGGAUUGUUAAAAUUCUUUUAGGUUUCUUAGUUAACGUUUUAAAAUAUUGGUACUGAAAAUGGCUUAAUCUCAACCAAGGUUGACUUAACUAUUGGUGCUAACUUUAUGUAUGAGGCCUCAAUAGGUUUGAGUUUGAAGAAAUUCUCCCACAGUUUAUUAUGUUGGCUUCAUACCAUCUCAUAAUUCAGACCAAUAUUGUCGAGCAAUUGUACUUUUUCACUAGCCCUUUUAUGUUUUUUAAUCCUCAAAGGUGUGCUAAAAACUUCAACCUGCCAGUGCACACGGCUACCCUCUACACCAAGAAGCCCUCACGCUGGUGCAAGAUUUCUCGGCCUACUCCCUCCUAACAUCAAGAACGGGAAUUAAGAGACGUUCAAGAAACGACUGGCCAACAUGCUUGUAAAAAAGUCCAUCUAUACUACAGAAUGUUGUUCUAUUUCUACCUAAUUAUAGCUUGUAAAUUGUAUAACAAUUUGCAAUAGGUUUAACGUAUAUUCAUGUCUUGAAGAUGUUGAAUAAAGCAUUCUGAUUUCA